rnacentral:rRNA from 1 species
GAGCUACUCCAAGACAGCCUCUAAGGGCGCACCCGUCUCUGUGGCAAAAGAGUGGGAAGAUCUUUGAGUAGAGGUGACAGACCUACCGAACUUGGUUAUAGCUGGUUGCUCAGGAAAUGAAUAGGAGUUCAGCCUUUUGCCCUCUCACUACACACAGCGGCUACACUUUCAAAGCACUAGAGCCGGGCAAAGGAGUUAGUCAAAGGGGGUACAGCCCCUUUGAAGAAAGAUACAACUUUACCAGGAGGGUUUAGAUCACAACAACUAUUAAGGGAAUGUGUCCUAGUUGGCCUAAGAGCAGCCACCCACACAGAAAGCGUUAAAGCUCAGACACUUUUCUACCCCUACUAUCCUGACCACAUAAUCUCACCCCCCUAACCAUACUGAGCCUUCCCAUACCCCUAUGGGAGCGAUCAUGCUAAUAUGAGUAAUAAGAGACCUAGAAUCUCUCCCUGCACAAGCGUAAAUCGGAACGAACUAACACCGAGAAUUAACGGCCCCAAAAAAGAGGGAACUGAAAUAUUAUGGCCAAGCCACUAGGAGACCAUCCACUCCACCACCGUUAACCUUACACCAGAGUGCAAACAAGGAAAGACUAAAAGAAA